rnacentral:tRNA from 1 species
GCCUAGUUAGCUUAGUUGGUAGUGCGUCUGCCUUGUAAGCGCUAGGCCGCGGGUUCGAUUCCCGCGCG